rnacentral:rRNA from 1 species
UACGUAGGGUGCGAGCGUUAAUCGGAAUUACUGGGCGUAAAGCGUGCGUAGGCGGUUGUGUAAGACAGAUGUGAAAUCCCCGGGCUUAACCUGGGAACUGCAUUUGUGACUGCACGGCUGGAGUGCGGCAGAGGGGGAUGGAAUUCCGCGUGUAGCAGUGAAAUGCGUAGAUAUGCGGAGGAACACCGAUGGCGAAGGCAAUCCCCUGGGCCUGCACUGACGCUCAUGCACGAAAGCGUGGGGAGCAAACAGG